UACGGAGGGUGCCAGCGUUGUCCGGAUUUAUUGGGUUUAAAGGGUGCGUAGGUGGCCCGUUAAGUCCGGGGUGAAAGCCCACAGCUCAACUGCGGAACUGCCCUGGAUACUGGCGGGCUUGAGAGUCGGCGAGGGUGGCGGAAGGGACGGUGUAGCGGUGAAAUGCAUAGAUACCGUCUAGAACCCCAAUUGCGUAGGCAGCUGCCUAGGCGACAUCUGACACUGAGGCACGAAAGCGUGGGGAGCGAACAGG
rnacentral:rRNA from 1 species